rnacentral:rRNA from 1 species
UACGUAGGGUGCGAGCGUUAAUCGGAAUUACUGGGCGUAAAGCGUGCGCAGGCGGUUUUUUAAGACAGGCGUGAAAUCCCCGGGCUUAACCUGGGAACGGCGCUUGUGACUGGGAGGCUAGAGUACGGCAGAGGGGGGUGGAAUUCCACGUGUAGCAGUGAAAUGCGUAGAGAUGUGGAGGAACACCGAUGGCGAAGGCAGCCCCCUGGGCCGAUACUGACGCUCAUGCACGAAAGCGUGGGGAGCAAACAGG